rnacentral:lncRNA from 1 species
GAAAUGGAGGUAAUCAAAUUUGAAGGGUCACCACAAGUCAAUUUGAUCUCAUUGAAGUAGAUGAUGAAGAGUUUUUGAACUAUUGUGAAAAUUUGAAUACAUUAUAUUUGAUUUUGUGAAAUAUAUUCAUUGCUAGAAUAUAUUGAACUAUUGUAAGAGUACUUUUUGAACUAUUGUGUACACAUAUUUAGAAUAUUGCUUUAUAAGUAUGUGUAUGUACACAAGACACACUAUCUUUUGAAGUUUAUUGCAAAUCUAUAUAUUUGAAUUACUUGUUAGCAA